AGCUGCGUGGUAAUCACAAUGCGAACUAUUCUUUCGCCUUUUGCUAAAGAAUACCUUGUGUGCGCCACAAAUAGCAGCAUACUUUUUGAAGGGUGUUCUAUGUGUGAGAU
rnacentral:snRNA from 1 species